UUCCUACGGGAGGCAGCAGUGGGGGAUAUUGGACAAUGGGGGGAACCCUGAUCCAGCGACGCCGCGUGAGUGAAGAAGUAUUUCGGUAUGUAAAGCUCUGUCAGCAGGGAAGAAAGAAAUGACGGUACCUGACCAAGAAGCCCCGGCUAACUACGUGCCAGCAGCCGCGGUAAUACGUAGGGAGCGAGCGUUGUCCGGAUUUACUGGGUGUAAAGGGUGCGUAGGCGGCUUGGCAAGUCAGUAGUGAAAUCCACGGGCUUAACCCAUGAACUGCUAUUGAAACUGUCGAGCUUGAGUGAAGUAGG
rnacentral:rRNA from 1 species